UACGUAGGGAGCAAGCGUUGUCCGGAAUCAUUGGGCGUAAAGCGCGCGUAGGUGGCUUCGUAAGUCCGUUGUGAAAGUCAAAGGCUCAACCUUUGAAAGCCGAUGGAUACUGCGGAGCUAGAGUACGGAAGAGGCGAGUGGAAUUCCUGGUGUAGCGGUGGAAUGCGCAGAUAUCAGGAGGAACACCAAUAGCGAAGGCAGCUCGCUGGGACGUUACUGACACUGGGGCGCGAAAGCGUGGGGAGCGAACAGG
rnacentral:rRNA from 1 species